rnacentral:rRNA from 1 species
AUUGAACGCUGGCGGCAGGCCUAACACAUGCAAGUCGAACGAGUGGCGGACGGGUGAGUAAUGUCUGGAAAACUGCCUAAUGGAGGGGGAUAACUACGGGACACGGUAGAUAAUACCGCAUACCAUCAGAUUUGCCCAGAGGGGAUUAGCUAGUUGGGGUGGUAACGGCUCACCACGGCGACGAUCCCUAGCUGGUCUGAGAGGAUGACCAGCCACAAUGGGACUAAGACACGGUCCAGAUUGCUACGGGAGGUAGCAGUGGGGAAUAGUGCACAAUGGGGGCAAGCCUGAUGCAGCCAUGCCGCGUGUAUGAAGAAGGCCUUCGGGUUGUAAAGGACUUUCAGCGGGGAGGCGUUAACCGCAGAAGAAGAACCGGCUAACUCCGGGCCAGCAGCCGCGGUAAUGC